GACGAACGCUGGCGGCGUGCUUAACACAUGCAAGUCGAACGGAAAGGCCCUGCUUUUGUGGGGUGCUCGAGUGGCGAACGGGUGAGUAACACGUGAGUAACCUGCCCUUGACUUUGGGAUAACUUCAGGAAACUGGGGCUAAUACCGGAUAGGAGCUCCUGCUGCAUGGUGGGGGUUGGAAAGUUUCGGCGGUUGGGGAUGGACUCGCGGCUUAUCAGCUUGUUGGUGGGGUAGUGGCUUACCAAGGCUUUGACGGGUAGCCGGCCUGAGAGGGUGACCGGCCCACUUUGGGACUGAGAUGGGCCCGAGCCCCCACGGGGGGGCAGCGGGGGGAAAUUUGGCAAAAGGGGCGGACGCUGGACGCAGCACCCCCGCGGGGGGAAGGCCGGCUUUGGGUUUGAAACCCGCUUCCGCUUGGAAGGAAGGGUGAGUGAGGUUAAGGGAUAAAGAAGCCCCGCCUAACUACGGC
rnacentral:rRNA from 1 species